GCUUCCUCUGUGGUUGGUGUUAUCUGUAAAGAAUGAGCAGAACAUUGGCGCUAGUGCCAUUCAAUCCAUUAUGAGUUCCACAGUUUGGCCAUGAACAAUGGUGGCUGAAAUGGCAUGCAGAUGCAAAAAGCUAGGACCUGGAGGCCGAGGCAGCCCUGUGAGACUGGGUGCUGCUGGGCCAUCCCUAAGAAAGGCCAUGUGGAGAACCUUUCUGAGGAAAGAAAAGCUAGAAAUCCGAAGGCCAUUAGGUGCCCAAGUCUUAGAUAAUGUGAAGGCAUGAACAUGGGGUUGCAGAUGAUGGCGCCAUCAAAGUAAACUAGUCAGCCUCUUGGGUGGCGUAGUGAAGCUUUAAGACAUCAUGCAGCCAACAGCAGGUGCCUGAGUGCAGUGUUUACAGGAAGAAAAUCCAUUCACCUAUUUUAUUCAGACUCCAAAGACGAGUCUAUGUAAUUAAGAGACUGAGAAUUACACUAGGGACCUCCUAUAGACAUGUUUGUGAGAGGCUGCCCAAAGCCAAUUAGCAUAAUAAAUCAGACGUGCAGGAACAGUGAGCUCACAUGUGUACAUGUUUGUCAAAGAGGAUCAUGGUGGUCUUUCAUCUUUCAAUCCUAUUCAGAUCUUGGGCAAGUAAAAAGUCAACUAGAAUUUUUUUUCUUAAAUAUACGUGUACAUAUGCAUUAGAAAGGUAAAAAUAAAUCCUAUAAAAUGUACUUUUUAUUCUCUCUCUUUCAAGAAUUAAACUUACCACAUAUAAAAACAAGUUUUGGGCAGGGGGGUGUGGGUUGUAUCUUUUUGGUUUUUGUUCUCAAAACCCAAGCAAACAUCAGACUAUGAAAAAGGAAUUCAAACAGAGUUAGUUUCCAUUCCUUCACCCACAGUGCACCAACUUUCUCCCCCAAGACUCACCUCUCUCUUAGCCAGGCACUGAAAAGACAAGAACUCUGCCUUCAGGUCUUCUCUGGGGAUAUGGGAAAUGGCAGCAGAGCACCCUGGGCUCAGAAAUCAGUCAUGGCACCCGGCACCUGCGUGCCCUCACCAAAUUCAACCUGUCCUCCCCAGCUCCAUUGUCAGCCACUCUCCCUCCCACUGCCCUGAAGAUGGAAAUGUACCCAACCUUCAAGCCCCUGUCGGUCCAGCUCGCGAAGUUUCCGGCUGAAGAUUCAUUAUCAGAUGGAUGAGAUGUUCAUCUCCACUUACACAGCCUACGGCUUGUGUGUGGAGAAAGAUGUUGAGCCAACAAAAUGAUCUGCAACACAAAAUUCUACUCUCCUCUUCACUCUUUAUUGCUAAAGCACUUAUUUCACUGGUUUCAAGCUGCUUUAAAAGGAGUGAAUAUGCAGGUGAAACCACCUAGAGAAGCACUGCCCUAACAUGCUUAAGGAUGCUUGAGAAAGCCCUGAGCCUACAAAAAGGCGUAAGACCGUGGCAAGAAUGAAGGAGUCAAGCAAUGUGAAAAGCUCCUGAAGCCCAAGGUUCUCUUCCCCAGUUUUGAGUCAUCUUAAUAUAGAGGACUGGGCUUGAGGACAUUCCGUGAAAUCUUGACUUACUGUGUUCUGUGUCUCAAAGCUCAAUGUGAAGCAGAUCUUACUUGCACUUCUAAAAGGAGGCAUGUUGAUGCAAUGGAAAAAGAUCUGAUGCAGUAAGACUCAGAGCCCUAAGAUUCUCUCUGUCACUAACUGCCACUACAAGCUUUUGUGAGGAUGGAAAGGUCUUUGCAGGGUGCCUGUACACAGAAAGUGUCUCUGAUAGGAAAGAACAUGUUGUUGGAGCUUACCAUUCUAGUGCAGCUUCCCUAACAGCAGCACCAGUGGGACCAUCUGUCCAGAUGCCCGGCCCUGUCCUUCUGAACAUCCUAGAUUCUUUGCACCCUCCAAUCAAUGUCCCAUGAGUUGCUUUCCUGCUAAAGUUAGCCCAAGAUGAUUUCCCUUGCUUGCAACCUAAGAGUCUUGCCUUGGUCAGUUGCUGUAUUUGCUCCCUGUGGCUGCUGUAACAAAUCACCAUCAACUUGGCAGCUAAAAAGCAACAAAACUUUCUUCUCUCACAGUCUGGAGGCCAAAUAUCCAAAAUCAGUUUCACUGGGCCAAAAUUAAGGUGUGGGUUGGGCAGGGCUCCCUCCUGAUGAUCUAGGGGAGAAUGCAUCCCUUGCUUCCUUCAGGUCCCGGGGGCUGCUGCAUCCCUUGGCUUGUGACAACAUCACUCCAAUCUCUGCCUGUGUGGUCACGUCACCUUCUCCUCUCCAGUAUGUGUUGACUCUCCUUCUGUCACUCUUUUAUAAGGCCCUCUGUGAUUACAUUUAGGGAGUACCAGGCUAACUCAGGAUAAUCUCCCCAUCUCAAAAUCCUUAACCUAAUCACACCUGCAAAGACCCAUUUUCCAUAUAAGGUAACAUUUAUGGGACACAGGAGUUAGUACCUGGUAUCUCUGGAGGUCGUUAUUCAGCCUACUAUAGUUGUCAGUUAUGGAGUUUGCUUUUACAGCCUAUAUUUGCUGUGUUUUUUGAUGAUGACGCUUACAAGGCUCACUGUCUCAAUAUGGUGGGACCUGCAGGUACUAAUGGCUAUGACAUCUGGACAGGAGACAAACAACAACAAGAAUAAGUUUGCAGGAACCUGGAGCCACUGGCAUCUGCUUGUUCUUCCUCGCCUUUUGCUGCUUAUGGGUUGUUGCCUUGGCAGAGCCAUGGCUAGAGGUUUAGAGUAACUCGUACACUUUUGACAAGAAAAGGUUUUGACCCUCAUAGGGGAAAAAACCACAGCUCUUGUGUAGUUAUUCCCAUAGCUAAUUUGAAUACAAUACGUCAAGAAACAUGGCCCAAAACCUUUCCUAUCAAAAGCAUUUAGGUUAUUAUUCUUAAAUGGUUUUGAUGAUUGUAUAUUUUACCGUGGAAUCGUAACUAUGCAUUAUUUAGAUACAUAUUUCUGCUAAAUUCCAUUCUCUCUCUCCCUUAAAACUGUGAAUGCAUUUGGUGUUUAAGAACACAUGCGUGCUCCUUAACCACAGGGGCAUACGCUCAAGCCGCCCCAACAAACGCUGCUAUUAUUGAAAUGGGUGCUCCAGAGUUAGAAAGUAGUUUUUAUUUCUUCUAGGUGUUAUGCAGACUUAUGGUAAUCAUACCUUGUACUGUUAACCUUUGUAUGUAAUAGUAGCAUUUGUUCCUAUCUAUUGAAACACUACUAUGUCUGUGUAACAUGCAUUAAAUAAAAAUGGAAUGUUGGUAAUUUUCAGCUCCUUUACUUCCUG
rnacentral:lncRNA from 10 species